rnacentral:rRNA from 1 species
AGUGAACGCUGGCGGUAGGCCUAACACAUGCAAGUCGAACGGCAGCACAGUAAGAGCUUGCUCUUACGGGUGGCGAGUGGCGGACGGGUGAAGAAUACAUCGGAAUCUACUUUUUCGUGGGGGAUAACGUAGGGAAACUUACGCUAAUACCGCAUACGACCUACGGGUGAAAGCAGGGGAUCUUCGGACCUUGCGCGAUUGAAUGAGCCGAUGUCGGAUUAGCUAGUUGGCGGGGUAAGGGCCCACCAAGGCGACGAUCCGUAGCUGGUCUGAGAGGAUGAUCAGCCACACUGGAACUGAGACACGGUCCAGACUCCUACGGGAGGCAGCAGUGGGGAAUAUUGGACAAUGGGCGCAAGCCUGAUCCAGCCAUACCGCGUGGGUGAAGAAGGCCUUCGGGUUGUAAAGCCCUUUUGUUGGGAAAGAAAAGCAGCAGGUUAAUACCCCGCUGUUCUGACGGUACCCAAAGAAUAAGCACCGGCUAACUUCGUG